UACGUAGGUGGCAAGCGUUGUCCGGAAUUAUUGGGCGUAAAGCGCGCGCAGGCGGUCCUUUAAGUCUGAUGUGAAAGCCCACGGCUCAACCGUGGAGGGUCAUUGGAAACUGGGGGACUUGAGUGCAGAAGAGGAGAGUGGAAUUCCACGUGUAGCGGUGAAAUGCGUAGAGAUCCGGAGGAACACCGACGGCGCAGGCAGCGUCCUGGCCGCUUGCUGACACUGAGGCACGAAAGCUGGGGGAGCAAACAGG
rnacentral:rRNA from 1 species